GGGGCUGUAGCUUAGUGGCAGAGCACUUGCCUAUCAUGUAUGAGGCCCUGGGUUUAAUCCUCAGCACCACA
rnacentral:tRNA from 1 species